rnacentral:lncRNA from 1 species
CUCAACGAGGUGGGUGCAGCUAAAUUAAGUUCUCAUAUAGGAAAAGAGACUAGGGGUCUCGCUUCACCGGCAUGCAGGGAGGCUGGAAGCGAGCCUAAAUUGCCGAAUUGACAUAAAGGUCUUAGGAAUAUAUAGAAAAUAAACGUGAAUGUCUGGAGCUGCCUCUCCCUCCGGCUUGCUGUUUGCCAUGCUUUCUUUUUUUCCUCCCCGGGGUUCUAAGUACGCGUUCAUCAAGACCCAACACAGGCUCAGCACACACCUUCAGCUAUCAGAAAGGCAAGCUAACCUCACCUAGAGAGAGCAAAGAACUCUACUGUGCCUAGAGACAUCCCCGGCCAGGAUAAUAAACACCUGACUUACCGCUUCAUGUGUAUCAAGACACUGAUACAUCACGAGUGCAAUCAGCAUCCCACACACCCCUCUCCUAUUCAGAAUAGCAAGAUUAACCACAACAAUACAAUAAUAAAGACUGUAGGAGUUCCUGAGUACUGCUAAAACACUAAUAUGGAAAGAAAAAAGAACAAUGACAGAGAUUAAAAAAAAAAAAUGAAAGGAAGAACCAACCAGAGCAGCAACAGAAACUGAAGAAACCACAGAGCUCUGACGGUGCGUCAUGCAUAAGAGGAUCACGAUUGUGAGGGAAUCUUGUGUCCUAGGUACUUCCUGUGUUUCCAGGAGAUUCAUCUUGUCACUCUGCUAGGAACAUGGGGGCAUCCUUCGAGAGGUGUAAAAGGAGCCCACUGCAAAGCAUGAUACCGUGCUACAGGGAGGGGAUGGAGAGAUGGCUCAGUGGUGAAGAGCAGGCUCAGUUCCCAACACACACUUGGUGACUCACAAUUGUCUGGAACUCCAGUUCCAGGGAAUCUAAUGCCCUGUUCUGGCCCCACUGAGUACUGCACUCAUGUGGUGCGCAUGCAUAGUAGCAGACAAAAUACUCAUACACAUAAAAUAAAUUUUGUUUAAAAGAAGAUGUCACAGGCAUGACUACUGAUGGUGGUCAUGGAAAGAGAUAU